GGUUUUAUGGUGUAACGGUUAGCACUCCAGACUCUGAAUCUGGCGAUCUGGGUUCAAACCCCGGUAAAACCU
rfam:Perkinsus marinus ATCC 50983 gcontig_1104296605804, whole genome shotgun sequence.